UGCCAGCCGCCGCGGUAAUACGAAGGGCCCGAGCGUUAUUCGGAAUCACUGGGCUUAAAGCGUACGCAGGCUGACUCGCAGGCAUCUUGUGAAAUCCCACCGCUCAACGGUGGAACUGCAGGGUGAACCGCGGGUCUUGAGACAGGUAGGGGCCAUCGGAACGAUAGGUGGAGUGGUGAAAUGCGUUGAUAUCUAUCGGAACGCCGAAGGAGAAAUCAGAUGGCUGGGCCUGUUCUGACGCUGAGGUACGAAAGCGUGGGGAGCGAACGGGAUUAGAUA
rnacentral:rRNA from 1 species